CCUACGGGAGGCAGCAGUGAGGAAUAUUGGUCAAUGGACGAGAGUCUGAACCAGCCAAGUAGCGUGAAGGAUGACUGCCCUAUGGGUUGUAAACUUCUUUUAUAAAGGAAUAAAACGAGGCACGUGUGCCUUUUUGCAUGUACUUUAUGAAUAAGGAUCGGCUAACUCCGUGCCAGCAGCCGCGGUAAUACGGAGGAUACGAGCGUUAUCCGGAUUUAUUGGGUUUAAAGGGAGCGUAGAUGGGUUGUUAAGUCAGUUGUGAAAGUUUGCGGCUCAACCGUAAAAUUGCAAUUGAUACUGGCAGUCUUGAGUACAGUUGAGGUAGGCGGAAUUCGUGGUGUAGCGGUGAAAUGCUUAGAUAUCGCGAAGAACCCCGAUUGCGAAGGCAGCUUACUAAACUGUGACUGACAUUGAUGCUCGAAAGUGUGGGUAUCGAACAGGAUUAGAUACCCGUGUAGUC
rnacentral:rRNA from 1 species